rnacentral:rRNA from 1 species
AGUGAACGCUGGCGGUAGGCCUAACACAUGCAAGUCGAACGGCAGCACAGUAAGAGCUUGCUCUUACGGGUGGCGAGUGGCGGACGGGUGAGGAAUACAUCGGAAUCUACUUUUUCGUGGGGGAUAACGUAGGGAAACUUACGCUAAUACCGCAUACGACCUACGGGUGAAAGCAGGGGAUCUUCGGACCUUGCGCGAUUGAAUGAGCCGAUGUCGGAUUAGCUAGUUGGCGGGGUAAAGGCCCACCAAGGCGACGAUCCGUAGCUGGUCUGAGAGGAUGAUCAGCCACACUGGAACUGAGACACGGUCCAGACUCCUACGGGAGGCAGCAGUGGGGAAUAUUGGACAAUGGGCGCAAGCCUGAUCCAGCCAGACCGCGUGGGUGAAGAAGGCCUUCGGGUUGUAAAGCCCUUUUGUUGGGAAAGAAAAGCAGCAGGUUAAUACCCCGCUGUUCGGACGGGACCCAAAGAAUAAGCACCGGCUAACUUCGU